CUUGAAAAGAUGGCCUGAGAAAAAGCCAGUCAGUGCCUCUGCUCAUAAGACAUGCAGAAAUAUAAGACCCAUGGAAAAUUGUCUUGCAGUAGAAUGGCACACCUCUGGAGCUCACAGCAGCAGUUUCUUGAUCGUGGUGGUUUCCUGAUGAUGGCAAUAACAACACAGUUCUGGAACCAGGAGCCUCUUGAUCACAUAAGAGGCAGCAGCUGCCCUGAUAGCCAGGUUCCAUGGGGCUCUUCCACCUUUGCUGCUGGGCACUUCUCCUUGCCUUGUGAAGAAAGUGCCUGCUUCCCCUUCUGCCAUGAUUUUAAGUUUCCUGAGGCCUUCCCAACCAUACAGAACUGUGAGUCAAUUAAAC
rnacentral:lncRNA from 1 species